rnacentral:rRNA from 1 species
UACGUAGGGCGCAAGCGUUGUCCGGAAUUAUUGGGCGUAAAGAGCUCGUAGGCGGCUUGUCACGUCGGGUGUGAAAGCCCGGGGCUUAACCCCGGGUCUGCAUUCGAUACGGGCAGGCUAGAGUGUGGUAGGGGAGAUCGGAAUUCCUGGUGUAGCGGUGAAAUGCGCAGAUAUCAGGAGGAACACCGGUGGCGAAGGCGGGUCUCUGGGCCGAAAUUGACGCUGAGGAGCGAAAGCGUGGGGAGCAAACAGG